AGUGACCGCUGGCGGCAGGCCUAACCACUGCAAGUCGGGCGAGCGGCGGACGGGUGCGUAAUGUAUGGGGAACUGCCUGAGGGAGGGGGAUAACUACUGGAAACGGUCGCUAAUAACGAAUAACAUCAGAGUAACCAAUAUGGGAUUCGCUUGUAGGUGAGGUAACGGAUCACCUAGGCGACGAUCCCUAGCUGGUCUGAGCGGAGGAUUAUCCACAGUGGGACUGAGACACGGCCCAGACUCCUACGGGAGGCAGCAGUUGGGAAUAUUGCACAAGGGGCGCAAGCCUGAUGCAGCCAUGCCUAGUGUAUGAAGAAGGCAGUCGUGUUGUAAAGUACUUUCAGUCGGGUGGCGUUACCUACAGCAGAAGCACCGUCUAACGCCGUGCCAGCAGCCGCGGUAAUAC
rnacentral:rRNA from 1 species